GGCGAGAGAGAGAGAGAGAGGGGGGGAAGAGAGAAGAGAGAGGAAAACAGAGGGAGAGAGCUCCACCCACCGGCGCCAUCACCGGUGAUGGCGAGGGUUUUGCGACGGUGACGGUGACCUUGCGACGGUGAUCUUGCGACGGUAGCGGGAUUGUAUAUAGAAAUGGGGGGAGAAUAAAGUAAUUCAGGCAUUUGGAUAUUGUUGCGAUCAACUUGGCUUCGCGAUCUCAAUCUCUCUCUCUCUCUCUCUGCGCCGAGGCGAAGAAGACGCCGGAGACGAUCAAAUAUUUGUCUGUAUGAUGUAUAUGUAUUCAUAUAAGCCUCUUGAUACAGGCGAUGCAUGUGGAAGUAGCCGUCAAGAACGUGAAAGUGUUAGAAAUUAUAUAUAUUUACUGUGUGUGUUUAGAUAUUGUAAACACCAAUUUGUGUGUUUAGAUAUUGUAAUAGUAUAUCUGGUUUUGAUGAUGAUGAUGAUGUUUUGGUUUGAA